UUAGAACUGAGAUGCCCUUUAUUCUUGUAUAUUCACUGAGUUGUUUGACAUUGUUUGAGCUGCCUUGUAUUAGAACCAUGGAGCAGCAAAGUAGAACACUAGAGCCUUGCAAGAUCUAUCCUUAGGCGACUGACGAAUCACCAUUUUAUUUAGUGUACGUUGUUUAUUUUCAAGGCAAGCAGAAUUAGAGAUGAAAACCUGCACUUGUUUGUAGAUAUUGAUGACUCUUGUUGCCUAGAAUGUAGAAACAACUCGAGUAUAAAUUAGUAGUCUUAAAUUUAUGGCAUUUUGAAUGGACAAAUUCCAUGUGUUCAUGUUCUGUUUAAAAUAGUGAUUCUGAAUUACUCCUUUUGUUCUUUUAAAAGCAUUUUCUUCACUAAUUUAGCCUUAAUCACGUUUAUCCCAAUUUACAUCCCAGGAAAAUCAAAGGAUACACUAGAAAUAUCAAGCAAACUGUUCUUUGUUACCCUUUUCUACCUUUUACAUGUAGAGGAUGAUUUUUUAUUUAUCAGGAAAAAAAAAAAAAGAAACAAAAACAUUAAAAAUAAGGGAAACUUAUAAGCUAGAGCACGAGGUGUAUGUGUAUACUCCCUCCGUCUCUAUCUAUUUAUUUAUUUACAAGAUCUGUCUAUGACUAUUAUUAAAUUAUUAUUAUCAAAGAGGGAGUAGUAAAUUUCUGUACUAAAAAAAGUGGUAAUAUAAUGUUUAUUUUGUGUCUAAAUUAUUUGAACAAGAAAAUUUUGAUGGAGUGAGAGUGUGAUUGAUCUAGAAAAAUUGGGAUGGUAGUAAAAAGUGAAAUCAUAAAAUAGUGAAGUAUUGAUUUUUUUAAUUAAUAUGUUGAAAUAGUACUGAAUUUAAAUUAAAUUAAACGAAAUCAAAACAUAACUUAUAACUUAAAAGUAUAUAUGAUUUUGUAUGUUAAAUUAAAAAAUAUGAUAUGUAGCCUGUAGGUGAAGGAAAAUCAGUAAAAUUAUAGCAACCAUUGUUCGUCCUUAACUUUCUUUUAUUUUUUAUAUAUUUUAUAUUUACUACUUUCAAUGCAUAAGUUAGAAUUAGAAAUUAGUUUUAAUUAUUUUUUCAACUUCUAAUUUGUUACUUUUAAUUAAUUUGCUUGUUCCGAUAUUAUUUUGAUUUAAUUUAUUUUAGUGUUUUUUGUUUAUUUAAUUUUAAACUUUAAUUGUAUAUUUAUAUCUUUUGAGGAUCGUAUUUUUAUAUCUGUUGUGGUAAUAUAAUAUAUUGUUACUAUAUUUUAAUUAUUAAAAUAUAAGUAAGAAACUGAGAUUAUUUACUAUUUUUAUAUAAUAAGUUGUCCAUAUAAUAUUGAAAUGAAGACGAGAAUAAGAAAUGAAGCCUGAUGUUUUUAAAGCAUACAACUAUAGCUAAUUAUACUCGUGUAACAAAAGAUGAGAUAGGGUACAUUUUACUUCCUACAAAAAAGAUGAGAUAGUGAGAUAAACUUCAAACUUAGUUCGUAUAGCAACAAGAGGUAAAAAAUGUGUAUAAAAGUUACAUUAAAAAUGAAUAGAAUUAAGUCUAUGAUAUAAUCUCUCUUAUUUAUUCGAUGUAUUUAAUGUCUCUUUCAUAUAUACAUUUAUAUAUAUAUAUAUAUAUAUAUAUAUAUAUAUAUAUAAAAGGACAAUCAUAUAAUUGCAAUUAAAUAGUGUACUUAUGAAGAAAAAAAAAACAUAUUAAAAUAUUGAAAAGAACGCAUCAUACUACAUAUGUAACAAUAACCAAAAAAUAUUAUACGUAUGACUAACAACAUCAAAAUUAAAUAAAAAAAGUCACUAAUUUCAAGCCAUAAAUAAAUAAACCAUAAAAUGGAGAUUAUGCACUCACAAUUUGAAUCUAAGGCCACAACAAAAUUGACCAAUAAAGUUGUUAUUGAUGAAGUGAGGAGAGAAUGAAGGCUAGUAAGAGGUAUGCAAUUCAAUAUAUAUGAUGGACGUUCGGAAUAUGAAAAGUAAACAUUUUAAAAGCAAGUGGGAAUUACCAAAAUAGUUAAUUCAAGGGGUGAAAAUAAAAUUUGAAUGAAAAUAGUAAUAGUCACUAAUAAAAAUAUGAAUUAGGAGACACAUAAAAAUGGAAAUAUGAUAAACUAUGAAAACAUUUAAUAUGAAAGACUAUUUUGGUCGUAGAAUAUGUGCGGUAAAAAGAAAUAAAGAAGAAAAUGAAAACCUGCGUGGUAGAACACAUGAAUAAGUUUAAGUCAAUCAUAGAGAAAAAUGACAAGUACAUUUUUGAAGGUGCCACCUCAUAAUUUGUUUGAUGUGGAAAAUUAAAUGGCAUAAGAGCUGAGGUGUCGUUGAUCUAAGUCGCGUCUUUGUUUUAAUAAAUUAUAAAUAGAUAUGUGGUUAUAAGUUAUAGCCAACUAUUCAGUACUGGAGAUACUGAAUAUAGGAGUUUGACUUCAAAUGCGUCGCUGAAAUCAAGAAAGGGUUUGUCAGAUUAUGAGAGAUAUUUUAGGUUAGAAUUUGUGUACCUUUAUGAAAUAAGAGGUCCUAUUUAUAUAGUGAAUUCUUUAAAGUUUCUAGAAGAUUCCCGUUAUGAUCAUCAGAUACAUAUAUGUUAUUCUCAAACGACUUCUGAUGUUAGAUGGGAGUCCUUGUGAUCAAAGGAAGGUGAGUGUCAUCUAAUGAAUGUGAUCAUCAUAUGAUUGUCAUCAAGUGACCUAUAAUGGUUGCAUAGGUGAACUAUCGCGCCCACCAUCAUUGGAUCCCCUCUUAUUCCAUCAUGUGGUCACGAUUGGAGGUCCAGGUGAGUUAUGAUAGAUUGUUGCUUCGGAUGCCAUCUUCGUAGACGGCUUUUCCUAAUUUCGAGAAGGUGUUGUGACACUAAUUGAUUGGGUCAUGUCUGUCCAAAUUUAUAGAGUUUAGCAUAUGUUAGAGUGAGUUCGGCCUAGAACACCAACCACACAAGAAUUACUCAGUAAUACAAACUUUGGUCUGCUGUGGCAUUUCGGGAAAAAUUAUUGAAUAUCAUUAAAUUUGAUUUCUAAAAAAAAAAUCGAUGAAUUUGAUGAUUGCUUGUUAUCAAGAAAAUUAAAAAACCUACUCAAGUCAAGACAUCAAUAUCACUAUCUUCAUUCAUAGAUAAAAACAAAAAUAGAAAAACUAUAUAUUGAAAAUUAAAAAUAUCUUAUUCGUUUUAAGCCUCCCAACAUGUAGGGUUGGUCAAAGGUUGUUAGUAGUUAGAGCUAAGAUGCCUUUUUUCGUGUAUAUUCACUAAUAACUCAUCUUGGCUUUGUUUGAGGUAGCCUUGGGUUAGAAUCAGAAAUGGAGCAGCAAAGUAGAACUCUAGAGCCUCGCCACAGUUAUCCUGAUGAAUGAUCAUUUAAUCUUUUUAUUUAGUACAUUGUUUAUUUUCAUUUCAAGGAAAGCAGAAUUAGAGAUGAAAACCUGCACUUGUUUGUAGAUAUUGAUGACUCUUGUUGCCUGGAAAGAACUGGAGUAUAAAUAACUAGUCUUCGUUUUAUGGCAAUUUGAACGGACAAAUUCCACGUGUUUAUGUUCUGUUAAAGUGAUUUGAGAGUAGUUAUUCUGUUCUGUUAAAAGCAUUUUCCUCACUAGUAUAGCCUUAGUCACGUCUAACCCAAUUUACAUCUUAAGAAUAUCAUAGGAAACAGUGAAGAUGCCAAACAAGCUUUUCUUUGUAGAGGAUAUUUUUUAGUUAU
rnacentral:lncRNA from 1 species